AACGCGAAGAACCUUACCUACCCUUGACAUCCUGAGAAGCCUGUAGAGAUAUGGGCGUGCCGCAAGGAGCUCAGAGACAGGUGCUGCAUGGCUGUCGUCAGCUCGUGUUGUGAGAUGUUGGGUUAAGUCCCGUAACGAGCGCAACCCUUAUCCUUAGUUGCCAACACGUAAAGGUGGGGACUCUAAGGAGACUGCUGGUGAUGAACCGGAGGAAGGCGGGGACGACGUCAAGUCAUCAUGGCCUUUAUGGGUAGGGCUACACACGUGCUACAAUGGGCAGUACAGAGGGAAGCCAACUCGCGAGAGGGAGCGGAUCUCAGAAAGCUGUUCGUAGUCCGGAUUGGAGUCUGCAACUCGACUCCAUGAAGUUGGAAUCGCUAGUAAUCGCGAAUCAGCAUGUCGCGGUGAAUACGUUCCCGGGCCUUGUACACACCGUAGAGAC
rnacentral:rRNA from 1 species